rnacentral:miRNA from 1 species
AGAGUGACCAGCUGUCUUGGUUUGCCUGGGACUGAGGCUGUUAGUGCUAAAAUAAGUCUAGGAAAGACCCAGAAGGGGUGAUUCAGUGU